GCUCUAUCGCAAUAAGGAGCCAGAAAGGGUUCAUUCACCUCUACUCUUUCCUCCCCGGAAGGAUCAGAUCAAGAGGCUGCUACAACAUCCAAAGGGGCAAUUGCCAUGACUGUCACCAGGAAAACCAUGAAUUUGGAUACCGCUGGGUCAUUGCAAGGAAGGAGACGUCUCUUCAGACGAAGCACUGGGUCAGUCCUGCUGGUUGUCUUGAAUCGGAUAUUAGGUAAGCUCGUCUCAUGGAUGGCAAAAUUGGCCCCCGGGGAGCAUUAGGCCACGCUGUGCCAGUCCUUUCCUCCUGGAAU